rnacentral:tRNA from 1 species
UUAAACGAAGCCAAAAUAGAGGCCUAUCACUGUUAAUGAUAAAAAUGAAUAAUUAGUUCCGUUUAAA